CCUACGGGAGGCAGCAGUGGGGGAUAUUGGACAAUGGGGGAAACCCUGAUCCAGCGACGCCGCGUGAGGGAAGAAGGUUUUCGGAUUGUAAACCCCUUUUGAUGGGGAAGAUAAUGACGGUAUCCAACUAGGAAGCACCGGCUAACUACGUGCCAGCAGCCGCGGUAAUACGUAGGUGGCAAGCGUUAUUCGGAAUCACUGGGCGUAAAGGGAGUGUAGGCGGGAAAGCAAGUCAGAAGUGAAAUCUAUGGGCUUAACCAAAAGCCUGCGUUUGAAACUGUUAUUCUAGAGUGGGGGAGAGGCAGGCGGAAUUCCUGGUGUAGCGGUGAAAUGCGUAGAUAUUAAGAGGAACACCAAUGGCGAAGGCGGCUUGCUGG
rnacentral:rRNA from 1 species